rnacentral:rRNA from 1 species
UACGGAGGGUGCGAGCGUUGUCCGGAAUCACUGGGCGUAAAGGGCGCGUAGGUGGCGCGGGUAGUCAUCGGUGAAAGCUCAGGGCUCAACCCUGAGUCGGCCGGUGAUACUCCCGUGCUUGAGUGUGGUAGAGGCCAAUGGAAUUCCGGGUGUAGCGGUGGAAUGCGUAGAGAUCCGGAAGAACACCGGUGGCGAAGGCGGUUGCUGGGCCACAACUGACACUGAUGCGCGACAGCGUG